GACGUAGGGCGCGAGCGUUGUCCGGAUUUAUUGGGCGUAAAGAGCUCGUAGGCGGCUUGUCGCGUCGGAUGUGAAAGCCCGGGGCUUAACUCCGGGUCUGCAUUCGAUACGGGCAGGCUAGAGUUCGGUAGGGGAGAUCGGAAUUCCUGGUGUAGCGGUGAAAUGCGCAGAUAUCAGGAGGAACACCGGUGGCGAAGGCGGAUCUCUGGGCCGAUACUGACGCUGAGGAGCGAAAGCGUGGGGGAGCGAACAG
rnacentral:rRNA from 1 species